AUUGAACGCUGGCGGCAUGCCUUACACAUGCAAGUCGAACGGCAGCGCGGACUUCGGUCUGGCGGCGAGUGGCGAACGGGUGAGUAAUACAUCGGAACGUACCCUGUUGUGGGGGAUAACUAGUCGAAAGAUUAGCUAAUACCGCAUACGACCUGAGGGUGAAAGUGGGGGACCGCAAGGCCUCACGCAGCAGGAGCGGCCGAUGUCUGAUUAGCUAGUUGGUGGGGUAAAGGCCCACCAAGGCGACGAACAGUAGCUGGUCUGGGAGGACGAUCAGCCGCUCUGGGACUGAGACACGGCCCAGACUCCUGUGGGAGGAAGGAGUGGGGAAUUUUGGACAGUGGGGGCAACCCUGUUCCAUCAAUGCCGCGUGUGUGAAGAAGGCCUUCGGGUUGUAAAGCACUUUUGUCCGGAAAGAAAUCGCGCUGGUUAAUACCUGGCGUGGAUGACGGUACCGGAAGAAUAAGCACCGGCUAACUACGUGCCAGCAGCCGCCGUAA
rnacentral:rRNA from 1 species